rnacentral:rRNA from 1 species
AUUGAACGCUGGCGGCAGGCCUAACACAUGCAAGUCGAGCGAGCGGCGGACGGGUGAGUAAUGUAUGGGGAUCUGCCCGAUCGAGGGGGCUAACUACUGGAAACGGUGGCUAAUACCGCAUAAUAUCGGAUGAGGCCUAAUGGGAUUAGCUAGUCGGUGGGGUAAAGGCUCACCGAGGCGACGAUGUCUAGCUGGUCUGAGAGGCUGAGCGGCCACACUGGGACUGAGACACGGCCCAGACUCCUACGGGAGGCAGCAGUGGGGAAUAUUGCACAAUGGGCGAAAGCCUGAUGCAGCCAUGCCGCGUGUAUGAAGAAGGCCUUCGGGUUGUAAAGUUCUUUCGGCGGAGAAGCGUUACCCGCAGAAGAAGCCCCGGCUAACUCCGUGCCAGCCGCCGCGGUAAUAC